CUGUAUAUGGAAAUAUUCGUGUUUAUUAAUUUUUGUCAAGUUUAUAAUUAAAAAAAUAAAAGGAUAUUAAAGUCUAAAAGGAAAUACGUAAACUGCGUUUGUGGUGACAGGCAAAUUAGGUGCUGGGCAGGAAGAGUCUUUCAGGCGGUAGAGGGUCUCAAAAAGCUCUGGACAGAUCUCGCUUCCAGCAGUGUCCUCGCUCCUCCUCCAAUGACAUGCGCAAUGGCGAUCGAGCGGAGCUUUCCCUAAGGGGCUCCGUUUGUGGUUGGGCCUACUGAGAGUGCCAAGGCCCCGCCUCUGCAGGAGACCUUCUGAAGGGAGGCCAGGGAUGCGUGCGCAGCUCCGAUACCAUUUCUGGACGCCUUGGUUCGGUGUAGGACAUCCGUCCUGCGAUCCUAUCUCCAGCGGAGGCAGGUUCCGGAACGCGGAAGGGGCAGGAGACUUGAACGGAAGCUUCCGCCAGCAAACUUUACUGAGUCCUCACUGUUACACAGAACGUGACCACUGCAAGGCACCUUUGAUAUCCUUCAGUACAACCCUCAUUUUACAGAUGAAGAAACUCAGAGACAAAAUGACUUUAGAUAGGUCACACAGCUGGUAACUGGCAGAGCCAGGUCAGAAAGCUAGAUCUCCUUACACCAAGUACCCGUGCUCUCUCCGUGAAACCAUGCCCCUGCUUACUCAGUGCCUUGGUUUUUUUUGAGUCCCCUGAGGUCUGAUUGUGUAACUGAAUCUGUUAUGGCCCUCCUGCUACUACUGAUGUGUCUCUGCUGUCAGUAACGUUUACCUGAGUGUUUAGUUUGUGUGAAAAAUGCACAUUCCUUGCUGUGGAUGCAGAUUUGAACCUUUAAUGAGGCUUUUUUUUUUUGGCAAGGCAAUUGGGGUUAAGUGACUUGCCCAGGGUCACACAGCUAGUAAGUGUCGAGUAUCAGUUCUGAUACAGGGUUUGAACUCAAGUCCUCCUGACUCUAGUGCUAGUGCUCUAUCCACUGCGCCACCUAGCUGCCCCCCUUAAUGAGGCUUUUGCUGAAGAAAUGCUUACCUUGGACAUGAAGAUAAUUUUUCAAGUCAUCCAGAAACCAAAUUUUAUCAAAAAGCAAACAGUCCUAGGUCAGGUAUACCAUCUUUGGAGAGCAGAAAACAGUCCAAAAAAUAAACAUAGCCACCUGCAUUUUAUAAUUAGGAAA
rnacentral:lncRNA from 1 species